AAAGAGAUAUCUUAUCACCUAAAGUUUUUUCCUUCGGGGGAAUUCUUUAGUGAUAAACCUCUCCACCCCUUGCUUAUUAUACCAAUUGUUGCUUUGGCGAGUCGCGGAAAGAUAGACUUUUUGUUUAUUUUUCCCCAUUGGCUUUCUAGCUGAUGAGCUUUGCUCGCCAAUAGCCAAAAAUUUAAAACCUUGAAAUAUCUAUUGAAGUCUGAAUUUAUACUAUGAAAAUAGCCUA
rnacentral:misc_RNA from 1 species